rnacentral:lncRNA from 1 species
CACGGCGCGCCGGCCUCCGCAAGUGUUCUGAACCAGCCGCCGUUAGAGCUGGACUGGGCAUCCGGAGCGCGGAGAUCGGUGGCGCAGGAGCCCCGCCGGACUCAGGCCAUUCUUCUUUGGGAAGAGGUUGACAAGCUUCCGGGAAAGGCCACAAGUUCGGGCAGCAAGGUCGGCGGCAGGCCUUGGGAGCUGUCAUGGGGCACGCAUUGGGGUGCGAGUGUAGAAACUUCGGACAGUUUUCAUUUUCUGGGCGUGGGACCAACCCGAAGUGACAAAUCUAAAACCUCUCCUUACAAUCCAGCUUGCUACGUCCGUUCUUUUAUCCUUUAUCAGAAUUGUUAUUUUCUAGCUUUCCAUGUUGCAGUAAGAACUUGCGGGGGCGAGGGGCGGUGUACGAAAACAAAUGUAGUACUGUACACUCAGGGUGAAUGUUUCUCAACGUUCAGUGUUAAGCACUGUUAGUCUUCACAAAGAAAUGACAUUCUCAUUCCUAUCAUGCAACAGUAGCCACCAUUUGGGGGGCUUUUACUAUUUGCCCGACGGGUUAGGUCAUUGCUGGCCAUUGGAAAUAUGAGCCGCCUGUGUAAUUUUGCAUUUCAUAGUAGCACUUCUUUUUAAAAGUAAGAAGAAACUGCUGAAAUUUAUUUUAAUAACAUAUUUGAUUGUCUUUGGAAAAAAAAAAUGUUGUCUGCCAUUCUGGUUCUAUAAGAAUCCAGCCAUUAGCCACUGCAGUCCUCACAGGCAAUGCACCCUGCAGGCAAUUCAGGAUGGAGAAAAACAGGAAGCAUUCUGUACUUUGGAUUCACUGGCCCCAAGGUAAUGAAGCUACAUACCGAAGGAAAAUUUUCAAUGACUCCCCGACACUCUAACAUCUCCCCAUACACAGAAAAAACACUAAAAUCGUUAACUUGAGAUGUAACUCUUUUUAGGCUUGACUACAAAUAUUUUCCCUAGCAAAGUUGAUAUCUAUUCCUGGCUCCUCCCUUACUUCUUAGGAGCAGGUCCUCAGAGCUGAGAGGCUGUCUCCUGGGCUAUAGCCCUCAGUAAGUUCCCAGAAUAGAACUUAACUCACAACUUUCACCUUGUGCAAAGUUGACAAUUUUGUUGUUGUUUUGACACGCCCAAAGUUUCUGGGCCAGGGAUCAAACCCACACCACAGCCUUGACAACUCAGGAUCCUUAACCAUUAGGCCACCAGGGAACUCCUUCAGUUGACAGUUUAAUACAAUAUCUUUUUUUUUUUUUGUCUUUUUGUCUCUUUAGGACCAUACCCGUGGCAUAUGGAGGUUCCCAGGCUAGGGGUCCAAUCUGAGCAGUAGCCGCCAGUCUAUGCUAGAGCCACAGCAACACAAGAUCCUAGCUGUGUCUGCUACCUACACCACCGCUCAUGGCAACGCUGGAUCCUCAACCCACUAAGCAAGGCCAGGGAUCAAACCGGAGUCCUCAUGGAUGCUAGUCGGAUUCGUUAACCACUGAGCCAUGACAGGAACGCCAAUGCAGUAUCUUCAGUAUAAAAUUGAGGUAUUUUGAAUUACUUUUUUCAUACUAAGUUCAAAAUGCGAUGUGUAUUCUACCUUUAGUGUAAUUUUCCACUUGAAAAAGUAGAUUCACAAACUAAAGUUAUUCCAAAUAUGCUUAAUUUUUUUCCCUAAAUAAAUCAAGAUCAAUUUUUAAAUUUAAAAUUUAAUUAAAUUUUAAAACUCAGUCCCACUAGCCAAACUUCCAGAGUUUAGGACCCACGUAGGGCUAGUGGCUACCAUUUUAGCAGGAUCAGAUGUUUAAUGUCAGGAAUCUCACUAAACCUGCACCCUACAGCAUUUUGAGUUAUACCCAUCUACUCAGAAAGAGGCCCUGACUGAAUGACCAGGGCUAAGAGGUUUCCCAGGAUGUGGGAUUAUCAGUCUUAAAGUCAGAAGCUGGAACUUUCCUUCUGCACCAUGUCAGAUACAAAGAAGUCCCCCCAAAGAACAUUCUGAGACUUUCAUUUACAAACAAAACUGGAAAAUUAUAAAAACAGAGCAGUCGUUUUUUUCUAAUAAGUGAAAUGCAAUCAUUUCAAGCAUCAGAGCUUCACAGCAAUUUUGUCUACUUUUGAUACACACAUCAUUAAAUUUAUUCAUAUAUUAUUACUUAUUUGAUCCCCAAACCAAACAUGAAAUAGUUUGUGGGGGGAAGAAAUACUUUCUAGGAGUUACUGUUGUGGCACAGCGGAAACAAAUCCAACUAGGAAUCAUGAGGUUUCGGGUUCCAUCCCUGGCCUAGCUCAGUGGGUUAAGGAUCCAGUGUUGCGGUGAGCUGUGGUGUGGGUCACAGGUAAAUUAAACAGCAAGAUUUAUCAAGUGAAAAAAAAGGUUAAAAGUGAUAUAUACAAGUAAUAGUAAUGGUUAUGUUUAAAUGAACUUCUUAAUAGAAUCUUAAGUAACAGUUGAACUAUUACCAGAGAAACAACCAGUAGGAUACAUCUACAGAGAGAUUUCCAGGAAUUUGUUUAUAUGAUAACAAGACCUGGCCAGGGAACUCUGAAGUACGUAGGGCAGGUCAGCAGCAGGCUAGAAACUCUUGGGCAGGAGCUGACCCUGCAGUCCACAGAAUUUCUUCCCCAGGAAAACCUCACUUUUGUUCUUACAGCCUUUCCACUGAUCAGAUGAGACAGACCCAGAUUACUGAGGAAAAUCUCUUUUACUUAAAGUCAAUUGAUUUUAGGUGUUAAUCACUCCCAAAGACCCUCCCAGCAACACCUAGAUUAGUAAUUGAUUGAAUAACUGGGUACUAUAGCCUAGCCAAAGUGACGCAAACCUAACCAUCACAAUAAUAAAUAAAUAAUUUAUAAUUACAUAAUCAUAUGCCACGCACGAAAGGUGAAACAGUGUAAGAAAAUUCCUAACAAGAAGUAGCAAAUCACAAGGAGGUCUAGGAAGUGGGCGUUGGAUUGUGAGCCCAGGUCCUGCCCCUUAGAAGCUGUGUGGUCAGGUUCCUCCUUAUUUUUUUAUAGCGUUUCCUGCUUUACACUAAAAACCCUGGAAGGACAGGGACAAGGCGGCUGGAUUGUGCUCUGCCCAACUCCAGAAUGCUCCAUCCUCAUAGAUGACCUCCCUGUAAGAGCAUGCGGAUGAUGGUGUCAGUAUGAGGAGGAGGACAUGGCACCAAAUAUUAGAAUUGUUGGGCCCUAAGUGUGGUUCAGCCACUAAACUGGUGAUCUAGGAUAAGACACUUAACCUCUUUGGGCUUCAGUUUUCUGAUUUUGAUGAGAUGAUCUUUAAGGAUACUUCCAGCUUUCAAAUUCCAUCAAGUGUGGAGCAAUGACAGUAGGAAAAAUAGAAAUCAUUAAAUUCUUCCCAUAAAGGCAGAUGCCCAUAUGACCAUACAUAAAUGUUUUUAUGAUAUUCAUGAGCCUUUUAAUACAUAGCAUCAUGUAGUAUAAAUAGGUGAAAAUAAUCAGAAAAAAAACCAGCAGAAAAAUAUUCUAGCAAUCAUCCAGUUUUAUUCUAAACUGUUUCCGCAAGUUACACAAAUAUUUAAUUUGGCAUGUAAUACUUGUGAGAAAGUGUUAGUUUCUCGCAUCCUACCCUUAACAUAAUGUUAUCAUGAAUAAAUCAGAAAAUGAAGAUAAUUUUAGAUCAAAGUUGUAGCAACAACAGACUUUGACCAGCUUAGAACUCACUUCCACCCACAGUUCAUUUCUUUAAUUAUAAAAACUACCCCAUGAAAUGCUGACUAGCAACUCUACAUGGGUUAACAAUAAGCAAAAGAAGUAAAUUUACUUACGAAAACAAAUUAAAAUGAAAACAAAUUCCAUAAGUCUGUCAUUCAACCAACAGGCUUAGGAAUCAUUUAAGCUACUUCUACGAAUGGAAAGUAGCUUUUUUCAUGAUGCAGAUUUCUAUUUUCCCCCCCCCCCCGCCAAAAAAAAUCUCAAGGAGGAAGGUUGUUUGUCCUUUCUGUUGAAAAGCUUUUUACAUGGAUUCUGUAUGUGUUUAUUGUUCCUUUUCACCUAAAAUUUGAUAAAUACAAGGCCUCUUAAAAUUACAGCCUUUGUGGUAAGAUAAGCUUUCCUGCUGAAAACCCAGUUGGUACCUCAUUGACAUAGAUCUAUAAUCAAAGGGGCAAAAGUCUGCGAUGUUAUUUAAUUUUAUUAGCCAGCCAAGAGCUUUAUUCAUGUUCAACUGUCAAUAAAUAUAU